ACCGGGUAACCGGGUAAGGGCCCUGGUAGACCACCAGGUAGAUAGGCCGCAGGUGUAAGGCAGGUGACUGCUUGAGCUGAGCGGUACUAAUCGCCCGAGGGCUUGUCCAC
rnacentral:rRNA from 1 species